GCAUCGAUGAAGAACGCAGCGAAAUGCGAUAAGUAAUGUGAAUUGCAGAAUUCAGUGAAUCAUCGAAUCUUUGAACGCACAUUGCGCCCCUUGGUAUUCCGAGGGGCAUGCCUGUUCGAGCGUCAUUAUAACCACUCAAGCCUCGGCUUGGUCUUGGGGUUCGCGGUCUCGCGGCUCUUAAAAUCAGUGGCGGUGCCGUCUGGCUCUAAGCGUAGUAAUUUUCUCGCUAUAGGGUCCAGGCGACCACCUGCCAUAACCCCCCAUUCUUUACGGUUGACCUCGGAUCAGGUAGGGAUACCCGCUGAACUUAAGCAUAUCAAUAAGCGGAGGA
rnacentral:rRNA from 1 species